rnacentral:rRNA from 1 species
AGAUUGAACGCUGGCGGCAUGCUUUACACAUGCAAGUCGAACGGCAGCACGGGGGCAACCCUGGUGGCGAGUGGCGAACGGGUGAGUAAUGCAUCGGAACGUAUCCUUAAGUGGGGGAUAACGCAUCGAAAGAUGCGCUAAUACCGCAUAAUCUCUGAGGAGAAAAGCAGGGGAUCGCAAGACCUUGCGCUUUUUGGAGCGGCCGAUGUCUGAUUAGCUAGUUGGUGAGGUAAAGGCUUACCAAGGCUUCGAUCAGUAGCUGUCUGAGAGACGACCAGCCACACUGGACUGAGACACGGCCCAGACUCCGUACGGGAGCAGCAGGUGGGGAAUUUUGGACAAGUGGGGGCAACCCGUGACUCACGCCAUGCCGCGUGAGCGAAGAGCGUUAGGUGUAAG